CAUCCUUUACAGCUACCAUAUAUAUAGCCUAAUGUUUUGUUAAAUAUUACAAAUCGAGAUAACUGCUUUAAUAAGUUUGUAAUUAAGCCUCAUAUACGAAAGAUUAGAUAAUGAAUACAGCAUUUAUUGUGUGCGUUUUUGUAGCUCUGAUAUGUUUUGUUUCAGCACAGGACCAUAAAGACCAUAAAUACUGCGACACCGAUAAAGACUGUCACGAUAUUGUGUGUUCUGACAAAAAACACACGGCUUACUGCCACUUCCACGAGUGCCACUGCCACGGUGAGAAAGAGUGCGACUUUAACUAUCAAUGUAAACACUGUGGUGAUAAAAACUAUAGGUGCGAUAAAGGUCAUUGCCACGGUCCUGCCUGUGAACAUCAUAGGAAGUAAAAUGAUAGUGCCAAGAGUUAUAACGUGUGGAACAAGAAAACUAUAUAGAAUGUCAUUCCUGUUUAUAGUAGAAAUCAAAUAAAAUGUGCAGAAAGCAAGAAA